rnacentral:RNase_P_RNA from 2 species
GGGACUGAAGGAGAUUAUCAGCAGGCCAUAUGCAGAGUACUUUACCCAGCUCACAGGAAAGUCUGAGACUGGCACCUCCUGUGGCCCUAAAUUAGGCUCUCCCCCAAGUGGGAAGGUGAGUUCUCAGAGAUCAGGGAUCCACCGGUGGGCAGACUGGACAGAGAGGCUUGGUGUGGGCAUGCCCCUGUUGCCAGAGCUUAGAACAGACUUAUGGCCAGCACAGCAAGUUCAAAUUCAAUCAGAGUGAUUGAUUAUCCCAUAACACUCUUGCUACU